GGGUAACCUGCGGAAGGAUCAUUAAAUAAUCAAUAAUUUUGGCUUGUCCAUCAUUAUCUAUUUACUGUGAACUGUAUUAUUACUUGACGCUUGAGGGAUGUUCCAAUGCUAUAAGGAUAGGCACUGGAAAUGUUAACCGAGUCAUAAUCAAGCUUAGGCUUGGUAUCCUAUUAUUAUUUACCAAAAGAAUUCAGAAUUAAUAUUGUAACAUAGACGUAAAAAAUCUAUAAAACAACUUUUAACAACGGAUCUCUUGGUUCUCGCAUCGAUGAAGAACGUAGCAAAGUGCGAUAACUAGUGUGAAUUGCAUAUUCAGUGAAUCAUCGAGUCUUUGAACGCAACUUGCGCUCAUUGGUAUUCCAAUGAGCACGCCUGUUUCAGUAUCAAAACAAACCCUCUAUCCAACUUUUGUUGAAUAGGAUGACUGAGAGUCUCUUGAUCUAUUCUGAUCUUGAACCUCUUGAAAUGUACAAAGGCCUGAUCUUGUUUGAAUGCCUGAACUUUUUUUUAAUAUAAAGAGAAGCUCUUGCGAUAAAACUGUGCUGGGGCCUCCCAAAUAACACAUCUUUAAAUUUGAUCUGAAAUCAGGUGGGAUUACCCGCUGAACUUAAGCAUAUCAAUAGC
rnacentral:rRNA from 1 species